AUGGCCACCGUACCUUCCGAUUCCUCCGCACCGUCCGCGCCUAGCUGACGAUUGCUCGCUUUGUCUGUUAGCC
rnacentral:sRNA from 4 species